GCGUUCCCCAGGCGGACGAACGCUGCCUGUCACUGCCACCACAGGCUGAUGCGGGCGCCCCACAUAAGCGUGGUUGGGUAUUGCGCUUUGUUCCUCUCGGCUAUUAUUUAUGAAUGAAUUGUGUUUCGUGGCACGCCGGAUGCUACAUAGGACAAGCAUAUCAGACAGAUGCCCCGCAUCCCCAACUCGACAUUAUAAUUACAAUUUUUUUGAAAGAAACUAAAUGCAAGCCUAAUUCUCCGCAGGUUCGUAACCCGGGGUGACUACAAGCACUCAAGCAAAAACCGCCAUCACAUUCCGCGGUUUUAAUAAGCGUGAAGAAAUCUAUGUCUAGUACAAUGGCAAAUUUAUUCGCAAAGUAAUUUCCAUUAAAAUGAAACACAAACGCUUGAUUCGAUUAUCCCGUGAGUAGAAGAUCUGGAACAUAUGUUGGCAUGCGGCUGAAAAUAAUUCGGACACCGUUUCACUACUGCUCAAAAUAAUCAUCAGUAUUUUUAUUUCAAAAAGUAGUAUACGUGUUACGCUCCUGUGUCUGCGUGAUAAAUCCUCACCCACCCCACCCCACUCCUUGAUAAAUUCUCAUUCGCAGAAGUUUAGGAGCUUUAAGAAUAAUGGUUAUCCUUGAAACAAGUUGUAGAGCGUUCUUGGUAUUUUUUCAGAUUUGAUUACCCCUAAUUUAAAAGGAUCGAUGUUCAUAGAAAAGAAUACCGUACGGGUUAAUUUUGCUUUAAGUGAUGUGUAGUUCCAAUCAAUGCUCCCUCACUUUCAGAGUAAAUAGGACAACUUCUGGAGUCCGCACAUGCGCCGAGUGGGAGCUGCAAAGUUGUCCAAUUGCCCGUUUCCAGGUGGCGUGCGAGCGGUACUUCAGCAUUGACAUCCAGCUCAAUUGAAUCAAGACUGGCAGCAGAGGCAACUCACAAGUCCAUGAGAGAGAUUUAAAGAGGAGCGUUCCUGGACUUCCGGCAUUUUCUGGCAAGCCAAUCAAAUAGUGGCUGUCUGCAAGAAGAUAAAUCUCAAGGCGUACUUACUUCGAUAAUAAAUGUACUUUGAACUUUGAAAUCUCAUAUAACCAAGCACCCUUCUCUGCUGCCUAGUCACCAUAUUAAGCUGAAACAGAGUGUCUUGUCAGAUGAGACAACUAUAUCUGCUUUGAGUUUGGUGAAGCAACCGAGUAAUGUGUAGGUUUAAGUGCAAAGCGACAAGACAGAUGAAAAUCUUUUGAACAUACUUUGGAGGGAUCAUUCAAUGCUUGCAACAUUCUCCCACAUGGAUCGGAUGAUGGAGGAGUCACAGUGCCAUUUUGUCUGGGACUAUGACACAAAAGAGGCAGAGCUGGUUCACAGGAAGUCCUACAGAUGUUUUCUGUUAACUUGAAAUCAAUGCAAUGAAAAUACUGUCAACUAUAAAAAAAGUAAAUGGAAAAAGAAUUUUCUUUUAACCAGUUCCAGACUAACAAUCAAUAGCUCUCUGUACUUACUUAAAUAACGUGUUUACAUUUGCUGCCUUCCAAUCUGUGGAAAAUGUUCUAGAACCUAUGGAAUUUAGUAGAUGCACUAGG